ACUGCUUCAACAAAAACAGCUCCAACAAAGACCAUUUGCAUCUCUGUGGCACCGCAACUGAAUCAGUCACCGAUUCCGACUCAAGAUUCUUUAGAUCCGCAACCUGUUACCAAAUUGCAUAAGAUUGUCAAUGAACUGCGAGUUAAAUAUAAGACAUAUUGCAUGGAGUUUGAUGCUCAUUAUGGUUAUGUGAAAAGGAUCGAUGGUAUGUUUUUUUUGACAAAAGGAUGACGUGCUCUUCGUGAUUUCUAUAACAUUGAUCUCGGUGCUUGGGUGAUCAUAAUGUUCUAUAGUUUUGGAAAAUUUGGCAUCAACAUCAAAGAUAUGUUUGGACAAUCUUAGUAUGAAGCAGAAGAUAGAGGGUGUGAUUUCGUCGCUCAACACAAUUAUGUCAUACUAAGAUAUGAAUAAUUCAAUGGAAUGUAUUUGCCGUCAUAUAAGUUACUGAUGUGUUGAAGGUAAAUGGGCAACUGUCAUGGUGAAUUGAUAACUGAAUGCUGGUUUUUUCAUCCCAUCCCAAUUGCAAGACUGUCCGCAUAGUAUAUGUAUUUGCCAUCUGUUUAAUGUUUUUGAAAUUCCAACGUGGUUGGUCGUCUGUGUUCAAGACUGUCCAAGACUUGAUGUCUGUCGUGGAUCGCCUUAAGUUGUUUUAAUAUAUAUGUAUGAACUUAUUGUAUGUUUUGCAAUCCUAUUUGAUGGAACUAUUACUGCAUUAUUAUAUGCUUCAGUAUUGGUAAAUUCAUCAGCAAACUAUUGCUGAGUUAACUGAUGACAAUAUUCUUGGGUGCUAAUUCUACAUGUUUUCAUAUAGAUG